UACGUAGGGGGCUAGCGUUGUCCGGAAUCAUUGGGCGUAAAGAGCGUGUAGGCGGCUCGGUAAGUCCGCUGUGAAAGUCCAGGGCUCAACCCUGGAAUGCCAGUGGAAACUGUCGAGCUAGAGUCCGGAAGAGGCGAGUGGAAUUCCUGGUGUAGCGGUGAAAUGCGCAGAUAUCAGGAGGAACACCAAUGGUGAAAACAGGUCGCUGGGGUUGUGCUGACGCUGAGACACGAAAGCCAGGGGAGCGAACGGG
rnacentral:rRNA from 1 species